rnacentral:rRNA from 1 species
UACGGAGGGUGCAAGCGUUGUCCGGAAUCACUGGGCGUAAAGGGCGCGUAGGCGGCUCAUGAAGGCUGUGGUGAAAGUCCGGGGCUCAACCUCGGAUCGGCCGUGGCGACUCGUGGGCUGGAGCACUGUAGAGGCGGGUGGAAUUCCGGGUGUAGCGGUGGAAUGCGUAGAGAUCCGGAAGAACACCAGUGGCGAAGGCGGCCCGCUGGGCAGUGGCUGACGCUGAGGCGCGACAGCGUGGGGGAGCAAACAGG